AUGGAGUCCAUGGCAAGUGUUGCUCUAAGCGUUGGGUCAACUACGGCAAUGGGAGAUGACGAUGAUGCCAACAGCUUCGCCGUGGGCACGAUCCGGCUAGUUGAAAAUGAUGGAAAUAGCUACCACACGCCAAAAUGUACUCGCAGUCUUCCGUUUUGUUGUGAUGAUAACCUAAAACCUGUUAUUGGCAUGCAAUUUGACACCUGGGGGGAUGGUAUGACAUUCUACAAAAUGUAUGCUCAUGAUGUCGGGUUCUCUGUUCGCACAUGGACAACACACAAAGAUGAACAUGGUGUAGCAGUGUGGAAGAGGUUUGUCUGUGCUAGGGAGGGUUGGAGGAAGGUGGCUCAGGAAGAGGGAAGGAUAAAGCCUAAACGAAAAUUCAAGUUAACCCGAUGUGGUUGUGAGGCUAUGAUUGGACUGAAGAGGCAGGAUGACGGCAAAUAUGUGGUAGCCCGGAUGUUCGAAUCACUGGGUAUCAUUUGCCGUCACAUAAUUGUUGUCCUCAAGAAUGAAGGGUUUAAUGAAAUUCCUAGUCAAUAUGUGUUGCAUAGGUGGACUAAAAUGGCUGCACGCCAGCUUUCCUAUGACGCCAACGGACAUGAGCUAGAAGGGCCAUCUACAUGCCUUUCACCUACCAUAAGGAAGUUGUACUCAGAAACAUGUUCAAAUUUCAGCUUGGCACUUCAUGCAGCGAAACAUUGUGAGGAGAAAAUGAGAUAUUUUCACAAGGCUGUUGGUGAUGCCUUCGCACAAUUGGGACAGAUGGGCCCAAUUAGUGAGCAAAGUAAAGUUCAAGAAUUUGAAUCCUUCGUUGGAACAUCAUUCCCAAGUGUGAUCAAUAUUCAUCCACCAGAUGUAGCGAACACAAAAGGGAGUGGGCGAAUAGCAUCCAAAAGGUCCCAGAUAAGUAGGAAUAGUUGUUGUUGGAUGGGUGUCAUGGAGCACUGGAGUGCUGAAUAUUCUGACAUUAUCCCUGCCUGCAUUUAUCUGGAUAAUUUAAUAGAAUGUGUAAUGUUGGAGAUGACCAACUCAGGAGCUGGUUUAAGUCAAGAUUUUAGUGGUAUAUAG
rnacentral:rRNA from 1 species